UAAGAUUAAAAUAUAAAAAUUGCAUUUUUAUAAUAUUAAAAAUAUAAUCUUAA
rnacentral:tRNA from 1 species